CAGGGAGUCAACUUUGGG
rnacentral:siRNA from 1 species